GAUGAGCUGCUCAGCGUGAUGCUGGCAUUGGAGUCAGCAGCAGGGAAGAGCAAUGCCCUCCAUCCAUCCUGGAUCAACCUCUGGGAGCAGGGAUGGUGCUGGAGGGGCUGGUGAUGCUUGGCAAGGGAUGGAGAAACUUCAGGAGAGUGGAGGGGGAAAAGGUCAAGGCUGGACAGAAAAGGCAGGAUGAGCAGUUCCAGGAAACAAAGGGAGCUUUGCCAGAGGCUCAGCAGGACCCGCUUCGUGUCCCCGAUGGUCCCAUCCCCUGGUGCCUCCGACUCUCUGCCUUUCCCACCUCCAUCCAGACCUGCUGAGCUGCUUCCUGAGGGUUCUGAGCAGACUGAAACAGCCUCUGGAAUGGCUUUGUUUGCCAAGCAYGGAGUUCAGCUCAUUGUUUUUCCUGAUGAUGGAAGCUAUGCCAUGGUGAAGAGUGAAGUUGGAGCUGUGACUUGGAAUGUGUUCCCAGAGAUAAGGACUGGAUAGGUGCUUACAGCAUGGAAUUCUUGAAUGGUUUGGGUUGGAAGGGACCUUAAAGASCACCCASUUCCA